AUUGAACGCUGGCGGCAGGCCUAACACAUGCAAGUCGAACGGUAACAGGAAACAGCUUGCUGUUUCGCUGCCGAGUGGCGGACGGGUGAGUAAUGUCUGGGAAACUGCCUGAUGGAGGGGGAUAACUACUGGAAACGGUAGCUAAUACCGCAUAACGUCGCAAGACCAAAGAGGGGGACCCUCGGGCCUCUUGCCAUCGGAUGUGCCCAGAUGGGAUUAGCUUGUUGGUGGGGUAACGGCUCACCAAGGCGACGAUCCCUAGCUGGUCUGAGAGGAUGACCAGCCACACUGGAACUGAGACACGGUACAGACUCCUACGGGAGGCAGCAGUGGGGAAUAUUGCACAAGGGGCGCAAGCCGGAUGCAGCCAUGCCGCGUGUAUGAAGAAGGCCUUCGGGUUGGAAAGUACUUUCAGCGGGGAGGAAGGGAGUAAAGUUAAUACCUGUGCUCAUUGACGUUACCCGCAGAAGAAGCACCGGCUAACUCCGUG
rnacentral:rRNA from 1 species